GUAGGUGGCAAGCGUUGUCCGGAAUUAUUGGGCGUAAAGCGCGCGCAGGCGGUUCUUUAAGUCUGAUGUGAAAGCCCACGGCUCAACCGUGGAGGGUCAUUGGAAACUGGAGAACUUGAGUACAGAAGAGGAAAGCGGAAUUCCACGUGUAGCGGUGAAAUGCGUAGAGAUGUGGAGGAACACCAGUGGCGAAGGCGGCUUUCUGGUCUGUAACUGACGCUGAGGCGCGAAAGCGUGGGGAGCAAACAGGAUUAGAUACCCUGGUAGUCCACGCCGUAAACGAUGAGUGCUAAGUGUUAGGGGGUUUCCGCCCCCCUUAGUGCUGCAGCUAACGCAUUAAGCACUCCGCCUAGGAGUACGGCCGCAAGGCUG
rnacentral:rRNA from 1 species